GACGAACGCUGGCGGCGUGCCUAAUACAUGCAAGUUGAGCGCUGAAGGUUGGUACUUGUACCAACUGGAUGAGCAGCGAACGGGUGAGUAACGCGUGGGGAAUCUGCCUUUGAGCGGGGGACAACAUUUGGAAACGAAUGCUAAUACCGCAUAAAAACUUUAAACACAAGUUUUAAGUUUGAAAGAUGCAAUUGCAUCACUCAAAGAUGAUCCCGCGUUGUAUUAGCUAGUUGGUGAGGUAAAGGCUCACCAAGGCGAUGAUACAUAGCCGACCUGAGAGGGUGGUCGGCCACAUUGGGACUGAGACACGGCCCAAACUCCUACGGGAGGCAGCAGUAGGGAAUCUUCGGCAAUGGAAGAAAGUCUGACCGAGCAACGCCGCGUGAGUGAAGAAGGGUUUCGGAUCGUAAAAAUCUGUUGGUAGAGAAGAACGUUGGUGAGAGUGGAAAGCUCAUCAAGUGACGGUAACUACCCAGAAAGGGACGGCUAACUACGUG
rnacentral:rRNA from 1 species